rnacentral:rRNA from 1 species
UACAGAGGGUGCAAGCGUUAAUCGGAAUUAUUGGGCGUAAAGCGCAUGUAGGUGGCAAUUUAAGUCUGAUGUGAAAGCCCUGGGCUUAACCUGGGAAUUGCGUUGGAAACUGAAUAGCUAGAGUCGGUCAGAGGGCCGUGGAAUUUCCGGUGUAGCGGUGAAAUGCGUAGAGAUCGGAAAGAACACCAGUGGCGAAGGCGGCGGCCUGGGACCAGACUGACACUGAGGUGCGAAAGCAUGGGGAGCAAACAGG